UAUAAAUAGGAGGCUAUGUAGUAGUUAGAAGGCAUCAAACAAUUUCCCUGUAAAUUUUCCGAUAUCAAUAAAAUGUUUACCUUCUAAAUUUCUCUUGUUCUUCUCUUUGAAAGGCAUGGAAAGGCUGAUCCUAAGUUAGUAUAGGGUUAGGAAAUAUUGGGCAAGUUGAGCUUGCUAUGAGUACAAUAGUUUUCCGAAGCUUUGACAGUAUGUCUGUAGUAGUGCGAAAGUUUUUCCGAGUUGAGUAGCUUGGCUAGGAAGCCAACCAUUUUGUAGGAAAAACUUUCAUAUCUACGAUCUUUCAAACUGUCCGACUAACUUGACAAACCAUCCUUCGGGUUGUUAAAGUCAGGUUUGUGGCAAGCCGUCCUUCGGGAUGUUGAAGCCCAGUCCUACUAUGUAAGAAAACUAUUGUGCUUGUAGUUUGGCUGUCUUGCUUGGUGUUUCCCCGCCCUCUACAUACCCCGUGGUAUAACCCGAGCUUGUGAAGAGAAAGUUGUUCCUAGGGUUUCUUUGAAGUUGAUGAGCUUGGGAAUUGGAGUUAGAGCUUGAUUGUUGGUAUCCUAGUUUCUUCAAGACUUUUGAGUUCAAGAAGUAGACGCUGGACGAGUAGAUACGCUUCAAGGUACAGGUAGACCGAUAGUCGGUCCAGCUCAGUAGGACAUUCAUCCAGUAGUGGUCAGUGCGCUCCAUUUGAUCCGGAGCAAUAGUUUAUUUUUGCAUGCUACUUUUGAGAUGUAGACAUGUACAUGGGUAUGACGGGGCCCUGUCCCGUCCUUUCUACAGCUUUUAUUCCAUUAGAGGUCUAUAGACAAUUAUGUGUAGAUGACAUGUGACGUAGCCUUGUCAACUCCUAUACUUUUAUGUACAGGUCAUGUGGCAGCCUAGUUGGCUUACAUUGUUAUCAUCACUAUAUAUGUAUAUAGA